UGGGGAAUAUUGCACAAUGGGCGGAAGCCUGAUGCAGCAACGCCGCGUGAGUGAUGAAGGCCUUCGGGUUGUAAAGCUCUGUCUUUUGGGACGAUAAUGACGGUACCAAAGGAGGAAGCCACGGCUAACUACGUGCCAGCAGCCGCGGUAAUACGUAGGUGGCAAGCGUUGUCCGGAUUUACUGGGCGUAAAGGAUGCGUAGGCGGAUUUUUAAGUGAGAUGUGAAAACCCUAAGCUUAACUUGGGGACUGCAUUUCAUACUGGAAAUCUAGAGUGCGGGAGAGGAGAAUGGAAUUCCUAGUGUAGCGGUGAAAUGCGUAGAGAUUAGGAAGAACACCAGUGGCGAAGGCGAUUCUCUGGACCGUAACUGACGCUGAGGCAUGAAAGCGUGGGUAGCAAACAGGAUUAGAUACCCUGGUAGUCCACGCCGUAAACGAUGAGUACUAGGUGUAGGAGGUAUCGACCCCUUCUGUGCCGCAGUUAACACAAUAAGUACUCCGCCUGGGAAGUACGAUCGCAAGAUUAAAACUCAAAUGAAUUGACGGGGUCAUAGCUGUUUCCU
rnacentral:rRNA from 1 species